CGGGUUCGGUUCAAUCGCUAACUGGGGAGGAACAGGAAGGAGGAGCUCGGGUAUAGGUCCUGGCGUCGGCUGGAGAUCGGGUAGGGAAGGAGGUCGGAUGCACGUAGGGGGACUGAUCGUUCGGGCUUCAGAGAGAUCGGGUGAGGGUCGGCUUCGAUCUGGAGUGAAACCAGCGUCAGAGUGGGAAGCAAAGUGGAUCCGACGGGUAGAGCUAGGUCAGAUCGGGCUUUGGUUUGGAGGUUCGAUGGUGUUCGGACACAAUGAAGGCUCUAUUAGAGCUUUCGAUUAGGGCUUAUGGAUGGAGGGAUUAGCGGCUUUAGCUUGCGAACUGGAUAGGCGACGGACAGAGGUAUCGGCUAUGAGGUUUGUGCGUGGGAUAUGCGGGAAAGAAGCGGAAACGAAGCCCCUCACUUCGUCUUCAUUUUAUUGACUCGAGCAGAUGUGUGAUCGAGGCGAGCUCGUGAGAUAUCCUGGAAGAGACACACUCGCAGUAGGAUUUGCGAGAUUCCUUCGACGAAACGAGGUAUCUGAGCGGGAUUUCGGGGAUUCGAUAGAGACGAUCAAAGAUACUCAUCAGAUGAAGAUUACAAACAAGAUGACCAUCCACAUCUUGUACAUUUAUUUGAUAUUUAAAUUGCUAUUCAAAUUUUAUGUGAAAUAUGACAGUUCCUAAAUAGUUGUUUGAAGUAAUAUUUGUUAUACCAACCGCAAAAAAGUCUCAUUACAAUGGAAUAACACCAGAGAUAGAGGAGAAGCUUGAUAUCAUGUUUAUAUAUCACAUUAUCGCAAUUGACGGUAAUAUUUGGGUUCCU